CAGUAGGGAGGAAGGUAGUGUAGUUAACACCUGCAUUAUUUGACGUUACCUACAGAAGAAGCACCGGCUAACUCCGUGCCAGCAGCCGCGGUAAUACGGAGGGUGCGAGCGUUAAUCGGAAUUACUGGGCGUAAAGCGCAUGCAGGCGGCCUGUUAAGUCAGAUGUGAAAGCCCGGGGCGUUAACCUCGGAAUUGCAUUUGAAACUGGCAGGCUAGAGUCUUGUAGAGGGGGGUAGGAAGUUUCAGGUGUAGCGGUGAAAUGCGUAGAGAUCUGAAGGAAUACCAGUGGCGAAGGCGGCCCCCUCGGACAAAGACUGACGCUCAGAUGCGAAAGCGUGGGGAGCAAACAGGAUUAGAUACCCUGGUAG
rnacentral:rRNA from 1 species